ACCGAUGGCUCUAAUCCACACCUACACUUUCCUGUGCCUCGGCAUCAACGUCUUUCCUGUCUGAGUAUUUACUUGCUAGAAAACGUCUAGCAAGUACAGCGCCUGAAAGAUUGAGACCUCCGUUGUGUUCAGUCUCGGGUGAAUUACAAGUCUCUCUGAAAUGGCUGCUGAGUGCCAGUGAAGGAUGCCUUUCAGCAAGAUGGGGGAUUUCCAGCAACUUGAGGUAAAAUGGACACUGAGACAGAGCAGGCCUCACCAAUAGGCCUGGGAGUCUGGCUGCUCCUCGAAACACAUCCAUCUUUUGAAAAGAAAGGAAACUAUAGGUACUGGUUUAUUAUACCGACCUGUUUCAGCUUCAGCGUGGAUUCAUCAGGCGUUUCCCGGACGUUGUGUGCUAAUAACAUAUAGUUUCUAGCAAUGACUUUUUAAAAUUCGACACACCUGGUAAACUACCAGUUACACUGCACAUGUUACGACAUGUGAUAAGUGAAUAUUUUGUGGGGAAAGUGUCUACGUUGGUGUAUUCAUAGAAUGAGGAAUUGCCGUGGUCGUAGUAGUAGUCAUAAAAACUGUGGGCUUUGGGUGCCGGAUUCAACAGGUAUAUACUGAAGAAGGAGAAACCCACAUUCACUGUAAUAGUCUACGAUGGUGUAUUGACACAGAGAGAACCAAAGAUUACAUUGUGAUCCAGCGUCUAUUAGAAAACUUGAGAAACGGACUGGAGGUGAAUGGUCCAUUCGGAUUGUUUGCUCAUAUUCAAUAUUGUAGCCAGAGAGGUACACUGCCACAGUGCUGCCGACACAUCUGGGCCUUAUUGUAUUUCUAUCUAGGGUGGAGAUACAGAGACAACAGAACAUCCAGCCAACAUGUUGGAGAAGACAUACCACAAGAGGAUUGUUUUGGAAACAGAAAGAUCAUGCACAUCCAAUCUGGAGGUAAGUGGAAGUGCUUUUGAAUCGACCAACCAGAGCAAGGUUCUUUGAUUGGUCUCGAGUGGAGCUUUCGGGCAGUGAGGAGCUCCACAAUGAGGGGUUACCUAGCAACCAAUAACUACCAUUAUUAAUCUUGGAGAUCAUCCCCCCCCCCUCCAGUGUUGCUUCAGGUUACCAACCACAGUUCUAGGAGUUUUAAUACAAUGAACGGAAGUGGAUUUCUAUCCAACUGUGCUCCAAGAAAACCAGGAAAGGUGUUAACAUUGCAUGUCUAUGCAUAAUACACCAGGGUUGAUUCCAACUGUUUUGGGAGAUGUAGAUCAAUUGUCUUGUGGAUGGCAAAAAAACUGCACUUCUGUUGACCUUCGUGAUUGUUGCUGGGUGAGGAGAAAGACGUGAUUUGCUGCUGUUGUUUGUUUUCAAAAGCGGGAACACUCACUGAUUCAUUAAAGCUCUCAAUGAGUAGCAGAGGGAAAUAUGAUGAGGUACCCCAAAAACUGAAACAAACAACGUUUUUAAAACAGUAGAUUUGAAUUAGUUUGGUGUGUGGCCGGAAUAGCUGAUAAGAUUA
rnacentral:lncRNA from 1 species